UACGGGGGGGAGCAAGCGUUGUUCGGAUUUACUGGGCGUAAAGGGCGCGUAGGCGGUCAGCACAAGUCAGUUGUGAAAUCUCCGGGCUUAACUCGGAAAGGUCAACUGAUACUGUGCGACUAGAGUGCAGAAGGGGCAACUGGAAUUCUCGGUGUAGCGGUGAAAUGCGUAGAUAUCGAGAGGAACACCUGCGGCGAAGGCGGGUUGCUGGGCUGACACUGACGCUGAUGCGCGAAAGCCAGGGGGAGCGAACGGG
rnacentral:rRNA from 1 species